UAAUUUGGCAGAUUUAAUGCAAAUGAUUUAGAAUCAUUUUAUAAUCUUUUUUUUGAUUAAUUAAUU
rnacentral:tRNA from 1 species